AGCCCCCCCCUUGUGUAAGCCCAUCAAAAAUCGCUUACGAAAGAAUAUAAGCCCAGUGCUUUUAGGUGGAGGUUUACAGUAGAUUGUCAAAAAAACUGCAGAACUGUAAGAUGGUGUCCAUGCAUAGGAUAUACUUAUGGUAUAAUCAAGUGAUAUAUAUAUAUGGUAUAAUAGUGACGAAAACACACGCAGUACAGGAAAACAGGGGUAGGGCCAAGACUGUACCACUACAAGUUCCCCAGCUCUAUCCUUACAAAUAAAAGAAAUGUCAGUAUUACACCAGACACCAAUAAACAAUUUUGCAGCUUCUGCUAAACAUUUUCUUUCAAUGUUUUUUAACCCAUUGAGUAUUGAGUGUCAGCACUCUCCCCCUGAUGAGUAAAUAGUCUAGUGUUGGACAGUAAAAUAAUCUGGCAUUAGGCAGAGUAAAAUAAUAGACAACUGGUUGAUCAUUUGAGCAUAGAUAACUGGUUGACCAGUAUAAAUCCUUGCAAUGCAUCACACAUUGCGAUAGUGUUGAAUUUACUCCAUUUCAUUCUUUACAACAAUGCUACCACUGGGCGCUUCUUCCAUCAUUCAGUGUGUAUGAAUGUCUGUCAGGGCAAACAAGAUUUAUUGGUAAAUUAAAACAGUUAC
rnacentral:lncRNA from 1 species